rnacentral:rRNA from 1 species
AACGAACGCUGGCGGCAUGCCUAACACAUGCAAGUCGAACGAAGGCUUCGGCCUUAGUGGCGCACGGGUGCGUAACGCGUGGGAAUCUGCCCUUUGCUUCGGAAUAACAGUUAGAAAUGACUGCUAAUACCGGAUGAUGUCGCAAGACCAAAGAUUUAUCGGCAAGGGAUGAGCCCGCGUAGGAUUAGGUAGUUGGUGGGGUAAAGGCCUACCAAGCCGACGAUCCUUAGCUGGUCUGAGAGGAUGAUCAGCCACACUGGGACUGAGACACGGCCCAGACUCCUACGGGAGGCAGCAGUGGGGAAUAUUGGACAAUGGGCGCAAGCUUGAUCCAGCAAUGCCGCGUGAGUGAUGAAGGCCUUCGGGUCGUAAAGCUCUUUUACCAGGGAUGAUAAUGACAGUACCUGGAGAAUAAGCUCCGGCUAACUCCGUGCCAGCCGCCGCCGUAACAC